rnacentral:sRNA from 1 species
CUAAAUUCCAGGAGGGUGAGCGAGUGCUGUGCUUUCAUGGGCCUCUUCUUUAUGAAGCAAAGUGUGUAAAGGUUGCCAUAAAGGACAAACAAGUGAAAUACUUCAUACAUUACAGUGGUUGGAAUAAAAAUUGGGAUGAGUGGGUUCCGGAGAGCAGAGUACUCAAAUACGUGGACACCAAUUUGCAGAAACAGCGAGAACUUCAAAAAGCCAAUCAGGAGCAGUAUGCAGAGGGGAAGAUGAGAGGGGCUGCCCCAGGAAAGAAGACAUCUGGUCUGCAACAGAAAAAUGUUGAAGUGAAAACGAAAAAGAACAAACAGAAAAGUAAGAAUAUUAACUUUCUUAACGUUAAUUUAUGUUACCUCUAUGACAUUGACGUUUUUAUUUUGAAAGCUAUGAAAUUUUGGAGUAAGCUUAUGUUUAUUGAUCAUCUCAAAUGGGAGUCUCACAGCAGUGUUAUAAAAUAGGUACAUGGUGGUAGAGACCUCUUUUUGCCAAGGAGAAACUUGUGAGCAUUUAUUUUCAUCUGCUUUAGUCUUGAUGUCUCCCACUGAGAAGAUAACAUUUAUAAAUAAAUGGAAGAUGGUGAUACUAAAUGUUGUCUAUACUAAAUGUUCGGUAGAGCUCUUCAUGAAAGUUGUAUUUUUGGUAGGAAUAUGAUUCUUUAACUUAGAUUGAGGUAACAGCUGUGUAAUGGAGAAAUAAUGAAAAGGGAUAAUGUGUCAAGAGACUAUUUUCCUUAUAGAGUUUGUUAAAUUAGCUAAAUGAGACCCCUUCCCGCCAACAUUUACAGCACCUGGAAAUGGAGAUGGUGGCAGUACCAGUGAGACCCCUCAGCCUCCUCGGAAGAAAAGGGCCCGGGUAGAUCCUACUGUUGAAAAUGAGGAAACAUUCAUGAACAGAGUUGAAGUUAAAGUAAAGAUUCCUGAAGAGCUAAAACCGUGGCUUGUUGAUGACUGGGACUUAAUUACCAGGCAAAAACAGCUCUUUUAUCUUCCUGCCAAGAAGAAUGUGGAUUCCAUUCUUGAGGAUUAUGCAAAUUACAAG